AUGGCAUCCCCAGCACAGCUCCUUUGUCUUCUGCUCCUGUGGCUCUCAAGUUCACAAGGGGAAGUUGUUCUGACCCAAUCCCCAGCCUCCCUGUCUGUGGCUCUGGGAGAGAGAGUCACCAUCAACUGCAAGGCCAGUCAGAGCCUCUUACACAGCAAUGGGUACACUUACUUACAGUGGUACCAACAGAAACCAGGACAACUUAUUAAACUCCUGAUUUACAAAGUUUCCAAUCUAUUCUCUGGGAUUCCCUCUCGAUUCAGUGGCAGCGGGUCUGGGACAGAUUUCACCCUCACAAUCAGCAGGCUGGAGCCUGGGGAUUUAGCCAUAUAUCACUGCCAGUAA